rnacentral:rRNA from 1 species
UACGAAGGGGGCUAGCGUUGUUCGGAAUCACUGGGCGUAAAGCGCGUGUAGGUGGAUAUACAAGCCAGGGGUGAAAUCCCGGAGCUCAACUCCGGAACUGCCUUUGGAACUGUAUAUCUGGAGUCUUGGAGGGGAGUGCGGAAUUCCUAAUGUAGAGGUGAAAUUCGUAGAGAUUAGGAGGAACACCGGUGGCGAAGGCGGCACUCUGGACAAGUACUGACACUGAGACGCGAAAGCGUGGGGAGCAAACAGG